rnacentral:rRNA from 1 species
UACAGAGGUCUCAAGCGUUGUUCGGAUUCAUUGGGCGUAAAGGGUGCGUAGGCGGCGCGGUAAGUCGGGUGUGAAAUCUCGGGGCUUAACUCCGAAACUGCAUUCGAUACUGCCGUGCUUGAGGACUGGAGAGGAGACUGGAAUUUACGGUGUAGCGGUGAAAUGCGUAGAUAUCGUAAGGAAGACCAGUGGCGAAGGCGGCCACCUGGUUGGAUACUGACGCUGAGACGCGAAAGCGUGGGGAGCAAACAGG